AGUGAACGCUGGCGGUAGGCCUAACACAUGCAAGUCGAACGGCAGCACAGUAAGAGCUUGCUCUUACGGGUGGCGAGUGGCGGACGGGUGAGGAAUACAUCUGAAUCUACUUUUUCGUGGGGGAUAACGUAGGGAAACUUACGCUAAUACCGCAUACGACCUACGGGUGAAAGCAGGGGAUCUUCGGACCUUGCGCGAUUGAAUGAGCCGAUGUCGGAUUAGCUAGUUGGCGGGGUAAAGGCCCACCAAGGCGACGAUCCGUAGCUGGUCUGAGAGGAUGAUCAGCCACACUGGAACUGAGACACGGUCCAGACUCCUACGGGAGGUAGCAGUGGGGAAUAUUGGACAAUGGGCGCAAGCCUGAUCCAGCCAUACCGCGUGGGUGAAGAAGGCCUUCGGGUUGUAAAGCCCUUUUGUUGGGAAAGAAAAGCAGCAGGUUAAUACCCCGCUGUUCUGACGGUACCCAAAGAAUAAGCACCGGCUAACUUCGUG
rnacentral:rRNA from 1 species